UACAGAGGGGGCAAGCGUUGUUCGGAAUUACUGGGCGUAAAGGGCGCGUAGGCGGCCUGUUAAGUCGAACGUGAAAUCCCCGGGCUCAACCCGGGAACUGCGUCCGAUACUGGCAGGCUUGAAUCCGGGAGAGGGAUGCGGAAUUCCAGGUGUAGCGGUGAAAUGCGUAGAUAUCUGGAGGAACACCGGUGGCGAAGGCGGCUUCCUGGACCGAUACUGACGCUGAGGCGCGAAAGCUAGGGGAGCAAACGGG
rnacentral:rRNA from 1 species